rnacentral:rRNA from 1 species
AGCAGCCGCGGUAAUUCCAGCUCCAAUAGCGUAUAUUAAAGUUGUUGCAGUUAAAAAGCUCGUAGUUGAAUUUCGGGACCAUCAUGUCGGUCGUGCCUCGGUACGUACUGGCAUUGUUGGUUUCUCCCUUCUGACGAACCAUGAUGUCAUUUAUUUGGUGUUGUGGGAAAUCAGGACUGUUACUUUGAAAAAAUUAGAGUGUUUAAAGCAGGCUCACGCUUGAAUACAUUAGCAUGGAAUAAUGAAAUAGGACGUUUGAUUCUAUUUUGUUGGUUUCUAGGAUCGACGUAAUGAUUAAUAGGGAUAGUUGGGGGCAUUAGUAUUCAAUUGUCAGAGGUGAAAUUCUUGGAUUUAUUGAAGACUAACUACUGCGAAAGCAUUUGCCAAGGAUGUUUUCAUUAAUCAAGAACGAAAGUUAGGGGAUCGAAGACGAUCAGAUACCGUCGUAGUCUUAACCAUAAACUAUGCCGACUAGGGAUCGGAUGAUGUUAAUUUUUUAAUGACUCAUUCGGCGCCUUACG